UGGCCUGAGCAACAGAAGAAAACGUUAACAUUACCGCCUAUGGAGAAUCUAUUACGCAUAUUGCCCCAAAUUGUGGCCUUGAAUUUCAAAGGUGAUGGAGUGUUUCAUGACUCAGUGACCACAAUUUAGGAUGAUAGCUGCUGAAAUCAAGAUAUGGCUAAAACUUCACAGAAUUGUUCAGAAAUGUGUACUAAAGGGAUACAAACUGCAAUAUAAGUGGAAUCUGACAUUAGCUGAUCUAAUAUGGGUCAAUAUCCCUAAUGGACCUUGAGAUGAGGAACACAGAUUUAUGACUCUCAUUAAAAAAUUAGUCCGCCAUACAAUUGUGGAAGCUGUGAUUUUAAAAAUUGACAUAAAUGAACUAGGACUGGUGUUUUAUAGCGCUGAUGUGAUGUGAAAAAAAGUAUAAAAAAAUAAACCUGAACAAAUAAUUACAAAGGA